GGUUAAGCGACUAAGCGUACACGGUGGAUGCCCUGGCAGUCAGAGGCGAUGAAGGACGUGCUAAUCUGCGAUAAGCGUCGGUAAGGUGAUAUGAACCGUUAUAACCGGCGAUUUCCGAAUGGGGAAACCCAGUGUGAUUCGUCACACUAUCAUUAACUGAAUCCAUAGGUUAAUGAGGCGAACCGGGGGAACUGAAACAUCUAAGUACCCCGAGGAAAAGAAAUCAACCGAGAUUCCCCCAGUAGCGGCGAGCGAACGGGGAGGAGCCCAGAGCCUGAAUCAGUGUGUGUGUUAGUGGAAGCGUCUGGAAAGGCGCGCGAUACAGGGUGACAGCCCCGUACACAAAAAUGCACAUAUUGUGAGCUCGAUGAGUAGGGCGGGACACGUGGUAUCCUGUCUGAAUAUGGGGGGACCAUCCUCCAAGGCUAAAUACUCCUGACUGACCGAUAGUGAACCAGUACCGUGAGGGAAAGGCGAAAAGAACCCCGGCGAGGGGAGUGAAAAAGAACCUGAAACCGUGUACGUACAAGCAGUGGGAGCACGCUUAGGCGUGUGACUGCGUACCUUUUGUAUAAUGGGUCAGCGACUUAUAUUCUGUAGCAAGGUUAACCGAAUAGGGGAGCCGAAGGGAAACCGAGUCUUAACUGGGCGUUAAGUUGCAGGGUAUAGACCCGAAACCCGGUGAUCUAGCCAUGGGCAGGUUGAAGGUUGGGUAACACUAACUGGAGGACCGAACCGACUAAUGUUGAAAAAUUAGCGGAUGACUUGUGGCUGGGGGUGAAAGGCCAAUCAAACCGGGAGAUAGCUGGUUCUCCCCGAAAGCUAUUUAGGUAGCGCCUCGUGAAUUCAUCUCCGGGGGUAGAGCACUGUUUCGGCAAGGGGGUCAUCCCGACUUACCAACCCGAUGCAAACUGCGAAUACCGGAGAAUGUUAUCACGGGAGACACACGGCGGGUGCUAACGUCCGUCGUGAAGAGGGAAACAACCCAGACCGCCAGCUAAGGUCCCAAAGUCAUGGUUAAGUGGGAAACGAUGUGGGAAGGCCCAGACAGCCAGGAUGUUGGCUUAGAAGCAGCCAUCAUUUAAAGAAAGCGUAAUAGCUCACUGGUCGAGUCGGCCUGCGCGGAAGAUGUAACGGGGCUAAACCAUG
rnacentral:rRNA from 1 species